UUACCAGACUCCUACGGGAGGCAGCAGUGAGGAAUAUUGGUCAAUGGGCUUACGCCUGAACCAGCCAAGUCGCGUGAGGGAAGACUGCCCUAUGGGUUGUAAACCUCUUUUGUCAGGGAGCAACGCCGGCUACGUGUAGCCGGACUGAGAGUACCUGAAGAAAAAGCAUCGGCUAACUCCGUGCCAGCAGCCGCGGUAAUACGGGGGAUGCAAGCGUUAUCCGGAUUUAUUGGGUUUAAAGGGUGCGUAGGCUGUGAGGUAAGUCAGCGGUGAAAUGCCCCCGCUCAACGGGGUGAAGUGCCAUUGAUACUGCCUUGCUGGAAUGCGGAUGCCGUGGGAGGAAUGUGUGGUGUAGCGGUGAAAUGCAUAGAUAUCACACAGAACACCGAUUGCGAAGGCAUCUCACGAAUCCGCGAUUGACGCUGAUGCACGAAAGCGUGGGUAUCAAACAGGAUUAGAUACCCGGGUAUCG
rnacentral:rRNA from 1 species